rnacentral:misc_RNA from 1 species
UCAAUAAGAAUUAGAAAAAAAAUCCCCCUGAUUCAGGGGGAUGAA